AACGAACGCUGGCGGCAGGCUUAACACAUGCAAGUCGAGCGCCCCGCAAGGGGAGCGGCAGACGGGUGAGUAACGCGUGGGAAUCUACCCAUCUCUACGGAAUAACGCAUGGAAACGUGUGCUAAUACCGUAUACGUCCUUCGGGAGAAAGAUUUAUCGGAGAUGGAUGAGCCCGCGUUGGAUUAGCUAGUUGGCGGGGUAGAGGCCUACCAAGGCGACGAUCCAUAGCUGGUCUGAGAGGAUGAUCAGCCACACUGGGACUGAGACACGGCCCAGACUCCAACGGGAGGCAGCAGUGCGGAAUAUUGGACAAUGGGAGCAAGCUUGAUCCAGCCAUGCCGCGUGGGUGAUGAAGGCCCUAGGGUUGUAAAGCUCUUUCACCGGUGAAGAUAAUGACGGUAACCGGAGAAGAAGCCCCGGCUAACUUCGUGCCAGCCGCCGCCGUAAGAC
rnacentral:rRNA from 1 species